GUAAAAGGAGGAUAACAAACAUCCUUAUCCAUGGAUUAACUUGUAAGGGGGGAAACGGAGAAUAACAAACAUCCUGAUCCAUGUAUUAACAGGUAAGGAGGUAAAAGGAGGAUAACAAACAUCCUUAUCCAUGGAUUAACUUGUAAGGGGGUAAACGGAGGAUAACAAACAUCCUUAUCCAUGUAUUAACUUGUAAGACGAAAAAAGGGGAAUAACAAACAUCCUGAUCCAUGUAUUAACAGGUAAGGAGGUAAAAGGAGGAUAACAAACAUCCUUAUCCAUGGAUUAACUUGUAAGGGGGAAAACGGAGAAUAACAAACAUCCUGAUCCAUGUAUUAACAGGUAAGGCCGAAAGUACGGUUGAGCAAACGAUUAUUUUAAGUUCGCCUGUGCAGGGGCUCGUUUCUCGAAACACCCGAGAAUUCCCGGCCCCGAACACGUUUUAUUUCUUAAAUUUGAAAAGCUGGCUAAUCCUAUAAAAUUUAUGGUAUCUAAAUGUGUUGAAAUAUCGUCGAAUUUUACCACAAAGAUUCAUGUGAAGGAUGGUUCUCUUUAUAGACUUAUAGGUUUUGAUCUUUCCCGAACUUCUAUGGCUUAAAUAAGUUCUCGGGACCUCGCAGUCACCCGAGACUUUUCGGGUAACUUUUUGGCUUCAGCAAAACUUCGAAAAUAGCCCUAUUGAGCGUAAUCAUUUGGAAUACGAACCAAGAGGAAGUUUAAACUAUUCUAAAACAUGAAAGCGGUUCUCCAAAAUGAAAACA